GACGUAGGGCGCGAGCGUUGUCCGGAUUUAUUGGGCGUAAAGAGCUCGUAGGCGGCUUGUCGCGUCGUCCGUGAAAACUCACAGCUCAACUGUGAGCUUGCGGUCGAUACGGGCAGGCUUGAGUCCGGUAGAGGAGUGUGGAAUUCCCGGUGUAGCGGUGAAAUGCGCAGAUAUCGGGAGGAACACCCGUAGCGAAGGCGGCACUCUGGGCCGGAACUGACGCUGAGGAGCGAAAGCGUGGGGAGCAAACAGG
rnacentral:rRNA from 1 species